ensembl:lncRNA
GAGGGCAGGUCCACUUGUCUCCCAUCUCACUCACUCGUUUGCGUCUCACAAUCAGCGCUCCGAUGCAGAGGAUCAUUACGAUAAACAACCCUGUCACGCUCAAGGAAAACCCUGUUGCAGGGACAAGCCCCUGAGGUCCGACAGCGAUGUGGAGCAGGUGAUCUCAGCAGAGGAGUUGACUCUCAUCAGAGAGAUGGACUGGGGCUCUUGGGAAGUGGUCAGGAGAGAUGAAUUGUUACCGACCGCCUCACCUGCAUUUAUGGAAAAGAAACGAGCAGAUGAUUGUAUGAGGAAAAUCUUCAACUGAUCAGUUUGUAAACAAAGGGUGUAGAUGGUUGUGGAACAGCGGAAGGUGACCAAGUACAACUUUGAGCUAAUGGUACUUUACUCAUUUCAUUUUGUAUACUUGAC